CGGACACGGAGCUCCCCCUUCCGCGUGCACCGCCGACGCGACGUACCUCCUCGCCGUCCUCAACCGCGGCGGCGGGCUUCGCGCUGUCGGCCUCGUCGGACGACGCCUUCUUCUCGUCGUCCUGGGAAACAACAACGGCAGCUGCGGCUGCGGGCGCCGGCGCCUACGGGACGGUGUAGACGAAAGGCCCAGCGGGCACGUCGCCGCACGUCUGCAGGCUUCGAGCGCGGCGACGACAUCGCGCAUGUGUGGGCGGGACCUGGGCACGCUGUGGAGGCAGUGAUACGCCACCAUGGCGGCCUUGCUCGCCGCCUUGUUGGAGUAUCCGCCCUCCAGGCUGGGGUCCUUCACCCGCUCCGGCCGCGCUCAGUCCACGAGAUUCUGCUCCCUCCCGCCCCGCCGCCCCGUCAGCAGCUCGAGCAGCACCACACGUCGCUCUUCGCCGUCAGGUGCCCCGUCAGGAUGUACUCCGGCGCCGCGUACCCGUGGGUCCCUAUGACGCGUGUCGUGACGUGGGUCGCGUCGCCCUGUGGGUCCCCCCUUGGCGAGCCCAAAGUCCGAGAGCUUCGCCGUGUAAUCCUGCA
rnacentral:sRNA from 1 species